rnacentral:lncRNA from 1 species
GCUCCACAGUCUAUGCUUAAUCACUGUACAAAGAGCUGUCUCCUUAAGAGUGGAGACAGACACCGGGGUCUGAAGUCAGCCUGGACUCUCUCAUGGUGUUCUGACUGGAGCUCUCACACUGGUCUUCCGCGUUGAGAUUUAGACCUGCAACUUUCUACAUAGACACUCAAUAUACCUCUGUGUGUGUAGGAUAAUGCAUCUGCUAUGUAAUAUUAUAAAAUGGUGAGAAAACAAACUGGCUAUUUAAAAAGUAAAGCUAAGAUUCAUUUUUGUCUGUCUCUUUCUUUUUUUUGAGACAGAGUCUCACUCUGUUGCCCAGGCUGGAGUGCAAUGGUGUGGUCUCGGCUCACUGCAAGCUCCGCUUCCUGGGUUCAUGCCAUUUUGCUGCCUCAGCCUCCCAAGUAGCUGGGACUACAGGCACCCGCCACCACGCCAGGCUAAUUUUUUUUUUUUUUUUUGUAUGCCACCGCGCCCAGCCUGUCUUUAAAAAUAAACCUUAAACUUAGCUAUAGAGAAAACAAAAAUGAAAUGCUUUAAUCGUUCUACAGCAGCAACCUCAAAGGAAAAGACACCCUGUGUUGUGCAGGAAGCCACCAAUUUCACAAAUAUUUAUUAGGGUGCUUACUGAGUGCUAAGUUCCACAUCAGGUACUGUAGGGGGACAGAAAGACAAUGUGUAACUGCCCUUGGGGAGCUUACAAUUUAGUCCUGGAGCCAAGAUAUAUAAUAUAUAAAAGACUAUUGGGGCCAGGCAUGUUGGCUCAUGCCUGUAAUCCCAGCACUUUGGGAGGCUGAGGCAGACAGAUCACUUGAGGCCAGGAGUUCGAGACCAGCCUGCCAACAUAGUGAUACAAAACAUACAAUAAUUAGCCAGGUGUGGUGGUGCGCGCCUGUAGUCCCAGCUACUUGGGAGGCUGNNNNNNNN